rnacentral:rRNA from 1 species
CCUACGGGUGGCAGCAGUGGGGGAUAUUGCACAAUGGGGGGAACCCUGAUGCAGCGACGCCGCGUGGGUGAAGGAGCGUUUCGGCGCGUAAAGCCCUUUUGGCAUGGAAGAAGAUGACGGUACCUGACGAAGAAGCCCCGGCUAACUACGUGCCAGGAGCCGCGGUAAUACGUAGGGGGCAAGCGUUAUCCGGAUUUACUGGGUGUAAAGGGGGCGUAGACGGGAAGGCAAGCCAGGAGUGAAAGCCCAGGGUCCAACCCCGGGACUGCUCUUGAAACUGCAUGGCUGGAGUACGGGAGGGGCAGGCGGAAUUCGUAGUGUAGCGGUGAAAUGCGUAGAUAUUAGGAGGAACACCGGUGGCGAAGGCGGCCUGCUGGACUGUGACUGACGUUGAGGCCCGAAGGCGUGGGGAGCAAACAGGAUUAGAUACCCCUGUAGUC